AUUGAACGCUGGUGGCAUGCCUUACGCAUGCAAGUCGAACGGUAACAGGUCUUCGGAUGCUGACGAGUGGCGAACGGGUGAGUAAUACAUCGGAACGUGCCCGAGAGUGGGGGAUAACGAGGCGAAAGCUUUGCUAAUACCGCAUACGAUCUCAGGAUGAAAGCAGGGGACCGCAAGGCCUUGCGCUCACGGAGCGGCCGAUGGCAGAUUAGGUAGUUGGUGGGAUAAAAGCUUACCAAGCCGACGAUCUGUAGCUGGUCUGAGAGGACGACCAGCAACACUGGGACUGGGACACGGCCCAGACUCCUACGGGAGGCAGCAGUGGGGAAUUUUGGACAAUGGGCGCAAGCCUGAUCCAGCCAUGCCGCGUGCAGGAUGAAGGCCUUCGGGUUGUAAACUGCUUUUGUACGGAACGAAAAGACUCUGGUUAAUACCUGGGGUCCAUGACGGUACCGUAAGAAUAAGCACCGGCUAACUACGUGCCAGCCGCCGCCGUAAAAC
rnacentral:rRNA from 1 species